UUCUUAUGCUGUCCAGGCAAAAUUACUCUGUGUAAUGCUCUGGUACUCCCGGUUUCACGGCAGAAAAAAGGUCAAUUCAGAAAUAAGAACAGUAAGUAUGCUCAGAUACGUCAAUGCUCACCUGGGAAAAAAGAUGGCCAUCCUCUUCCCUAU